AUUCUAGAUCUGGAAAAAAAAGGGAGUUUAGACAAAAGCACAGGAAAGUGAAAUGUGAGAAAUAGGUGCAGUGUGUGUUCUGCAUGCCUACAUGUUGAAUGUGAAAAUGAUACCCCAGAAUGCAAGUGUCAGACUUUGCUAUUAGUGUCUUAGCCCACAGAAAUGUGUACAUGUUCCCUGUUUCAAUGAGCGAAAUUCAGCCCAUGAAUGACUUCAUGCUUAGCUCAUAAGUUGAGUCAGGUGUGGUAAGCAGAGUGAAAUGUAAACCACAUUGCUGUGGCACACUAGGACUGGAUCCUGACACUGAUUAGUUAGAAGUUCUCAUAUUUUAGGAACUUUAAUAAAGUUCUGAAAGAACACUCCUCUUUGUCUCACCUCAGGCCAAAACAUGUACUGAAAUCAUCUGGAUCACCACUGGUGAACCAUCUAGGACAAGGAGGUGUUGCUACUUGCCUGGUAUAGUGGACCAGAGCCAGCAUGACAGAGCUACAGGAAGUGUUGCCACCCCUUCAGCUUCAGAGUCCUGGGUUUGCCUGUAUGGCAUUCAUCUAGGUUCUUGUUUUCUCCCUCUAAUUUAAAAUUGCUCUUAGGUGUGAGUGAAUUUGUGAAUAUGUCUGAGCAUUGUGCCCUAUGACAAUUCAAAGCCAAAUUUUCCUGAUUUUGCACCCCAUGUUACCAGGAUAGUAACUGAAAUUGAAUGCCACAGUUAGUUCCUAGAGUAAAAGUAUUUUUUUACCAUUUUCUUUCUCACAAUUUGCUUACCUGACAGCUCCUACCCAUUCCCAUUAGCCAGCUCUCUCAAUCAUACAACAGCUCACAAGUGUUGUGAGGGUUAACACAUCAUUCCUGUUUAUCCUUUACUAGGCAACCAAACCAAAUUAUAGAAAAAAAAUCUGCCCUUUUGCAUUCAUAAGCUUAAUACUGUUAUAAUUAAGAGAGGAACAAGUGUAUGCCAUCCCUCCCUCCUAGUAUAGUUCUGCUAUUCCUUAUUAUUUUCCUGAAAGAAAGAAUACAUGAACAUAAAAGAAA